rnacentral:rRNA from 1 species
GGGUUGUGAGGUUAAGCGACUAAGCGUACACGGUGGAUGCCCUGGCAGUCAGAGGCGAUGAAGGACGUGCUAAUCUGCGAUAAGCGUCGGUAAGGUGAUAUGAACCGUUAUAACCGGCGAUUUCCGAAUGGGGAAACCCAGUGUGAUUCGUCACACUAUCAUUAACUGAAUCCAUAGGUUAAUGAGGCGAACCGGGGGAACUGAAACAUCUAAGUACCCCGAGGAAAAGAAAUCAACCGAGAUUCCCCCAGUAGCGGCGAGCGAACGGGGAGCAGCCCAGAGCCUGAAUCAGUGUGUGUGUUAGUGGAAGCGUCUGGAAAGGCGCGCGAUACAGGGUGACAGCCCCGUACACAAAAAUGCACAUGCUGUGAGCUCGAUGAGUAGGGCGGGACACGUGGUAUCCUGUCUGAAUAUGGGGGGACCAUCCUCCAAGGCUAAAUACUCCUGACUGACCGAUAGUGAACCAGUACCGUGAGGGAAAGGCGAAAAGAACCCCGGCGAGGGGAGUGAAAAAGAACCUGAAACCGUGUACGUACAAGCAGUGGGAGCACGCUUAGGCGUGUGACUGCGUACCUUUUGUAUAAUGGGUCAGCGACUUAUAUUCUGUAGCAAGGUUAACCGAAUAGGGGAGCCGAAGGGAAACCGAGUCUUAACUGGGCGUUAAGUUGCAGGGUAUAGACCCGAAACCCGGUGAUCUAGCCAUGGGCAGGUUGAAGGUUGGGUAACACUAACUGGAGGACCGAACCGACUAAUGUUGAAAAAUUAGCGGAUGACUUGUGGCUGGGGGUGAAAGGCCAAUCAAACCGGGAGAUAGCUGGUUCUCCCCGAAAGCUAUUUAGGUAGCGCCUCGUGAAUUCAUCUCCGGGGGUAGAGCACUGUUUCGGCAAGGGGGUCAUCCUGACUUACCAACCCGAUGCAAACUGCGAAUACCGGAGAAUGUUAUCACGGGAGACACACGGCGGGUGCUAACGUCCGUCGUGAAGAGGGAAACAACCCAGACCGCCAGCUAAGGUCCCAAAGUCAUGGUUAAGUGGGAAACGAUGUGGGAAGGCCCAGACAGCCAGGAUGUUGGCUUAGAAGCAGCCAUCAUUUAAAGAAAGCGUAAUAGCUCACUGGUCGAGUCGGCCUGCGCGGAAGAUGUAACGGGGCUAAACCAUGCACCGAAGCUGCGGCAGCGACGCUGAUGCGUUGUUGGGUAGGGGAGCGUUCUGUAAGCCUGUGAAGGUGUGCUGUGAGGCAUGCUGGAGGUAUCAGAAGUGCGAAUGCUGACAUAAGUAACGAUAAAGCGGGUGAAAAGCCCGCUCGCCGGAAGACCAAGGGUUCCUGUCCAACGUUAAUCGGGGCAGGGUGAGUCGACCCCUAAGGCGAGGCCGAAAGGCGUAGUCGAUGGGAAACAGGUUAAUAUUCCUGUACUUGGUGUUACUGCGAAGGGGGGACGGAGAAGGCUAUGUUGGCCGGGCGACGGUUGUCCCGGUUUAAGCGUGUAGGCUGGUUUUCCAGGCAAAUCCGGAAAACUAAGGCUGAGGCGUGAUGACGAGGCACUACGGUGCUGAAGCAACAAAUGCCCUGCUUCCAGGAAAAGCCUCUAAGCAUCAGGUAACAUCAAAUCGUACCCCAAACCGACACAGGUGGUCAGGUAGAGAAUACCAAGGCGCUUGAGAGAACUCGGGUGAAGGAACUAGGCAAAAUGGUGCCGUAACUUCGGGAGAAGGCACGCUGAUAUGUAGGUGAAGUCCCUCGCGGAUGGAGCUGAAAUCAGUCGAAGAUACCAGCUGGCUGCAACUGUUUAUUAAAAACACAGCACUGUGCAAACACGAAAGUGGACGUAUACGGUGUGACGCCUGCCCGGUGCCGGAAGGUUAAUUGAUGGGGUUAGCGCAAGCGAAGCUCUUGAUCGAAGCCCCGGUAAACGGCGGCCGUAACUAUAACGGUCCUAAGGUAGCGAAAUUCCUUGUCGGGUAAGUUCCGACCUGCACGAAUGGCGUAAUGAUGGCCAGGCUGUCUCCACCCGAGACUCAGUGAAAUUGAACUCGCUGUGAAGAUGCAGUGUACCCGCGGCAAGACGGAAAGACCCCGUGAACCUUUACUAUAGCUUGACACUGAACAUUGAGCCUUGAUGUGUAGGAUAGGUGGGAGGCUUUGAAGUGUGGACGCCAGUCUGCAUGGAGCCGACCUUGAAAUACCACCCUUUAAUGUUUGAUGUUCUAACGUUGACCCGUAAUCCGGGUUGCGGACAGUGUCUGGUGGGUAGUUUGACUGGGGCGGUCUCCUCCUAAAGAGUAACGGAGGAGCACGAAGGUUGGCUAAUCCUGGUCGGACAUCAGGAGGUUAGUGCAAUGGCAUAAGCCAGCUUGACUGCGAGCGUGACGGCGCGAGCAGGUGCGAAAGCAGGUCAUAGUGAUCCGGUGGUUCUGAAUGGAAGGGCCAUCGCUCAACGGAUAAAAGGUACUCCGGGGAUAACAGGCUGAUACCGCCCAAGAGUUCAUAUCGACGGCGGUGUUUGGCACCUCGAUGUCGGCUCAUCACAUCCUGGGGCUGAAGUAGGUCCCAAGGGUAUGGCUGUUCGCCAUUUAAAGUGGUACGCGAGCUGGGUUUAGAACGUCGUGAGACAGUUCGGUCCCUAUCUGCCGUGGGCGCUGGAGAACUGAGGGGGGCUGCUCCUAGUACGAGAGGACCGGAGUGGACGCAUCACUGGUGUUCGGGUUGUCAUGCCAAUGGCACUGCCCGGUAGCUAAAUGCGGAAGAGAUAAGUGCUGAAAGCAUCUAAGCACGAAACUUGCCCCGAGAUGAGUUCUCCCUGACUCCUUGAGAGUCCUGAAGGAACGUUGAAGACGACGACGUUGAUAGGCCGGGUGUGUAAGCGCAGCGAUGCGUUGAGCUAACCGGUACUAAUGAACCGUGAGGCUUAACCUUACAACGCCGAAGCUGUU